rnacentral:rRNA from 1 species
GGAGCGGCAGACGGGUGAGUAACGCGUGGGAACGUACCUUUUGCUACGGAAUAACUCAGGGAAACUUGUGCUAAUACCGUAUGUGCCCUUCGGGGGAAAGAUUUAUCGGCAAAGGAUCGGCCCGCGUUGGAUUAGCUAGUUGGUGAGGUAAAGGCUCACCAAGGCGACGAUCCAUAGCUGGUCUGAGAGGAUGAUCAGCCACACUGGGACUGAGACACGGCCCAGACUCCUACGGGAGGCAGCAGUGGGGAAUAUUGGACAAUGGGCGCAAGCCUGAUCCAGCCAUGCCGCGUGAGUGAUGAAGGCCCUAGGGUUGUAAAGCUCUUUCACCGGUGAAGAUAAUGACGGUAACCGGAGAAGAAGCCCCGGCUAACUUCGUGCCAGCAGCCGCGGUAAUACGAAGGGGGCUAGCGUUGUUCGGAUUUACUGGGCGUAAAGCGCACGUAGGCGGACUUUUAAGUCAGGGGUGAAAUCCCGGGGCUCAACCCCGGAACUGCCUUUGAUACUGGAAGUCUUGAGUAUGGUAGAGGUGAGUGGAAUUCCGAGUGUA